rnacentral:rRNA from 1 species
AACGCGAAGAACCUUACCAGGUCUUGACAUCCUCAUGAAAGCAGCAGAGAUGUUGCCCCUCUUCGGAGCAUGGGAGACAGGUGGUGCAUGGUUGUCGUCAGCUCGUGUCGUGAGAUGUUGGGUUAAGUCCCGCAACGAGCGCAACCCUUGGAUUUAGUUGCCAGCAUUGAGUUGGGCACUCUAGAUCGACUGCCGGUGACAAACCGGAGGAAGGCGGGGAUGACGUCAAAUCAUCAUGCCCCUUAUGACCUGGGCUACACACGUACUACAAUGGCCGGUACAACGGGAAGCGAAACCGCGAGGUGGAGCGAAUCUUUAGAAGCCGGUCUCAGUUCGGAUUGCAGGCUGCAACUCGCCUGCAUGAAGUCGGAAUUGCUAGUAAUCGCGGAUCAGCAUGCCGCGGUGAAUACGUUCCCGGGCCUUGUACACACCGAUACUC